AAGAGCUCCUUUCUUCUGACUCUGCGUCAGAACGUCCAAGCCUGUCAUCUGUGGAAGCGUCAUCCUGGAAAGGGCCUGGAAGAUGUUGAAGGGAGUCAAACUCACAAGCCACGAGUGUAUCUCAUGCUCUGCGUGUAGCUCCUAAGAGGAAAGGGGAUGACCUGGGUGACCCCUAGAGUCCUUCCCAGUCUGAGAUGGGACUGUGUGCCUUGUGAAUGCCUGGUGUAGAGAACAGCUGCAGCUUUGAUGGGAAAUUGUAUCUGGUGGGAAUUCGGCAGGAGGCAAAAUGUCUUGUUUUGUUGCUCUCAGUCUCUGGGUCUCCAGGCUCAGGGCCAGAGUGGUGGGGACUGGGAAACGCAGGGAAGUGUCAUGACAUGUAUCUGCAGCUCCAGUUCUUCAGACUGAGGCUUAGAUGAUCAGUUUCUAACAUCUAUGUUGUGAAAACUUUUCCUAGACUAAUAUUGUGAGUUGAGAGAGUAAGCAGAGGUCACCGUUUACUUUUCUCCCUCUAAGGACCAAAGGCAUUUAAAAGAUCAGAGAGCUAGACUCAGGGACACCUGAAGGUUUCUCCCUCUCUGUUAUAGGUGGUCUACAUUGAGUGUCCCAGCCAAGAGGUUAUCUUUUCAUUAGGCCUGAUGAACUUGGGACCAGCUUUCACACCCCCUUGAAAGCCUGCAAGGAGUUCUCAGUUACCAGGAAGCCUGGCAGAAAACUGUGGGAGCUGGUGACAUGUGUGACACCCUGUUCCCAGCUCAUGUGUCCCAGCUUGUGGUCUAGGACAUAGGGUCAAAGUUGUGGAGUCUGGGGAAAUCUGGGUGACAUUAUAAAACGUGAGCUGCAGCACCAUCUUCUUCAUCCUGCCCCAGAUGAUCUGCUCCUGAUAGCCACGUGGGGGAACUUCUCCCCACCUGAUGUGGGGCAUCUUUGGGGCGCCCAUUCACUCAGUCUUACUCCAUCGCUAAUAGUGUACUUCUUCUGCCAGGAGGGGCAGGUGAACUCUCUGGACCCCUUAGCCCUGGGGAGUCUGGAGAAGCCGGCCAGUCACAUCUGAAGGUUUUGACCAACCACUGUGGAAAGGUCACUCAGUCACAGUUUCUUCUUGGAGGUCCUUCUGAUGCUGGGGUUCUUGUUUGCGGAGUCGAAGAAUGAAUCUCGCAAACAGUCAGGGUAGGAGAGUCAGGGCAGAGGCUUUUAUUGAGAGAUACAGUGAGAGGACAGACAGAGCUCCUGGCGUGAGCCAGGAGGGGACAAGAGAGCCCGUAGUGGUGCAUUGUCUAGUGGUUUUAUAGGCAGUUGAGGAUUUUUGGGAACAGGAUAAAAGGCUUAGGAGUGUGGACUUGUUAAGUGGUCCCUGAAUAUUAAAAAUAAACUUAACACAAGAAAUUUACUGCUCUGAUUUCUCCCUGGGAUACUGGCGUCUUGGUCUAGGAGCCGCCUAGACCAGCUCCCAAGGUGGGCUGAGGUAUUGUCUGUUUGCUAAAGGCUAUGAACACACCAGCUGUGAUGAAUCCUCCUACAUAAGUGUUUGAAAUUUUAAGAGAGAAGAGUGUAAUUUCUCUUAGACAUUAAAAAAAAUCCAUCACCUCACAAUUUAGAGAAGAAAAGGCAUACUGUUUGAAGGAUAGAGAUUCAAAUAAAAUUAUAAAAUUUGGAAGAGUCAAGAGAGAACUUAAACAAUCUUAAACUACUUGCUAAUCUGCUUCCCUAAAUCCAUCCUGUUCAAUGAACACCUCAUAAAUGCCUACACGGGGCUCGCCGCUAUUCAGGAGGAUAACAGAUCAGAGAGUGAGGCAGCAAUCCUACCCUUCAGAGGCGCUGUCUAGUACAGUGCAUCAUCCUAACUGUGGGACAGUCACCCUGGAAAAACACAAAUGCCAGAGUCUCACACAGACCACCUGCUCAGAAUCUCAGGGGUAAGGUCUGAACAUCAGUAUUUUUUAAAAUCACCCAAAGUGACUCUAAUACACAGUGAAGAUUAAGAACAACAGUCUAAAAGCAAAGAGAGGCCAGGCAGGUCAUUGCAGCUCCACAUGCUGGGUCUGUGAGAAGAACGUGUGUGUUCUGCUGGUCAUGGCAGAGGCGGGGGAGUGGGGGGAACAAUUUUGCCUUGAGAGGGGAUGUCCUGUGAAAGAGUCACAAGAAAAGGGACACUUUAGUCAAAUCUUAAAAGGCAAGUUGGAGUUUACUAAAUCAGACAAAGGAGAUGGGGCAGGGGGCAUUCCAUGCAAAGCAACAAGCCAAAGCUGAGGCUGGUGGUAGGAAAUGUUGGGCAUAUGCCCUGGGACUGCGUAGGAAGGGGCAGCAGUGUAUUCAUUUGCUAGGGAUGCAGUAACAAAAUACCACGCACUGCAUGGCUUGAACAGCAGAAAUCUAUUCUCACGUGCCAGGAGCAUGUCGAGUGGGUUAAGGCAGGAGGCGAGGAGAGAAGGAGCCCAGGGGUGUGUUCUAGCCCUCCAGCCCAAUGAUGUGGGCAAGGAAAGAAAGACUUUCCCAAGGGGAGACUUAGUAAGACCAACCGAUGGACCAGGAGGGAGUGGGAAAGGGGGACUGGAUCAAAAAGUAAUUCAGAAGUGUAAGUGUGAGAAGAGAAGUAGGUCUUUUGUUUGUUUUUUCACGGAAAGGGAGAAGUCCAUCUUCCACAAGGAACAAUGAGCUCAGUUUCAGGUUUGGUGAGACGUCAGCAGACCACUAGAGAUACCGACCUGUAGCCUGGGACAAGAGUCGGGGCUGGAGAUCUAGAGAGGAAGCCAGUCACCAUGGGGACGGUUUGUGAUGUUCAUGGUGCAGAGGCAACCCCAACAAUGACAAAUUGGGGCCAGAGGGGGGCUCCUCCAUCUCACUGUCCUUGCACUUGGGGCGUCUCCUGCCCCCUCAGUGCAUAGGGGCUGGUCUGGAUGGGGCCAGUUAGGAUGGCUGUGGCCACGCAAGGCACAGAGUCCUUUGAUAUCCCCCAAAGUCACAGUUCACGGUGCAAAAGGGUUGGCAACCAGUGUACCAGGGCUGGAAGGUGUGCUGUGGGAUGAUUAGAAGUCGGGCUGCCAUCAAAAUCAUGGCCAUUUAGUUUCCUCUAAAAUAUAUUUCAAUAUCCUCUUUGAGACAGGGACCGUGGAUGUAGUCAGAGUAUGGUGAGGGCUUCCGGAGGGGGCAGGGCGGGAUAUUUGCAGUCAGAGCAAUGUAACUACAUGCAAGGAAACCCCCCCUGCUAAAACUCUAUGUUAAACAUUGAGCUCUAGAAUCAUUUUUCAGUGAAAUCAGUUAAUGUUCCCCAGGUAAAGAAGAGUAGCACAUGUCUUAUUAUGCUAACCACUUAUAAUCAUGUGUAAGGUUCACUUUAGCAUACUAAAAGGCCUAGCCUAUGUGCUGUCUUUCCUCCUUCAGAUCUGAUGAAGUGAUUUUGCAAGCUGGGCAACUAAUUUAGCAAGUAAGCCCAGGCAUAAACAACACAGUAAAAGGCAGGAAGGAUUCUACCUUAAAGAUAAGAUUGCAUUUUAAUAUCCAAGAAGUUAAGACGUUAGAAAUUCUUCACUUACACUUUAGCAAACAAUGCCUCAGCCCACCCUGGGGGCUGAGCAGGUGGCCUUGUUUCAUAUGCCCCCAGACCAAGAUGCUGGUCUCUCAGGGAGAAAUCAUCAGAGGAAGUUGCUUGUGUUAAGUUAAUUCUAAAUAUUCAGGGACCUCCUAACAAGUCCACACCCCUAAGUUUUUUCAUGUUCUCGAAAAAUCCUCAGCUGCCUAUAAAACCCCUGA